ACACAGACUCCGAAUUUCUCAAGUCGGAAAACAAUCAAUACAGAGAUGCUGGCUCAACGGCCUCCACUACUGUUCUUGAUAUGCAGAUUGCAACAAGGAAGAAAACAUUUUACCUUGGGAAAGAUUCUUAAAACCGCGGAUCCAUUUUGGUGUAUCCCUGGAGGAAAUGAUUGGUGGGGAGAGUUCCAGUCAUAUGGUCAAGGAUCUUCUAGAGUUAUAUGCAAAGGAGCAUCGUAUUCUUGUCAUGAAUAAACCCCAACAACUGAGAGAGUUGGAAAUCUUUGUUUCAUUCAAGUUACAGUCUGUGUUCUAAUUACAGGUUGGUAUUUGUUAUAAAAGAUUUCACAAAUCAGGCUGGCAAUCGAACUCAUGAGGUGGCUGGAUUAGUCAAUUGCCCUGAAAUGGCCUGAAGCAAAGGCCUGUUCACCAGGCAUUCCAGAAAAAUCACAAUUUGGUGAAUCUGUUGAAAUGGUGAAAAAUGUAAAGUAGUGCAGUAGGAAAUGCUGAAAAGUUGGAAAAAGGCGAUAUUUAAAAUGUAAACCAGUGCGGUGAGACUUGAUGGGAAGUGUGAAAUUUUUGAUAUUUUUUUAGUUUAUUAUUAGAAGCCAAAAUAUGUGAAUUGGUGGGUGAAGCCAACACCAAAUAUC